UACGUAGGGGGCAAGCGUUGUCCGGAAUCAUUGGGCGUAAAGCGCGUGUAGGCGGUCCGGUAAGUCCGCUGUGAAAGUCGGGGGCUCAACCCUCGGAUGCCGGUGGAUACUGUCGGGCUUGAGUACGGAAGAGGCGAGUGGAAUUCCUGGUGUAGCGGUGAAAUGCGUAGAUAUCAGGAGGAAUACCGGUGGUGUAGACGGCUCUCUGGACCGCCACUGACGCUGAGACACGAAAGCGUGGGUAGCAAACAGG
rnacentral:rRNA from 1 species